AAGGAGAAGCGCCGGGACUCCUGAGUGGUGUGCCUUUCAGGGGCGCGUGGAAACGCCCAGCAGCGUCAGGUGGCAGAGACGAUGACUCAAGCUGGGACCGCGAGGCGCAUCCGGAGGGAAGCGGCCGGGUGCAUCGGGCUAGCCGGGGAUCCGGCCCGCAGCUUUCCAGCCAAACUCUUGUGAAACAACAGUCAAGGUAGAUGCAGUUUUACAAAGAAACAGCGUUUU
ensembl:misc_RNA